AUAAUGGGUCAGCGACUUAUAUUCUGUAGCAAGGUUAACCGAAUAGGGGAGCCGAAGGGAAACCGAGUCUUAACUGGGCGUUAAGUUGCAGGGUAUAGACCCGAAACCCGGUGAUCUAGCCAUGGGCAGGUUGAAGGUUGGGUAACACUAACUGGAGGACCGAACCGACUAAUGUUGAAAAAUUAGCGGAUGACUUGUGGCUGGGGGUGAAAGGCCAAUCAAACCGGGAGAUAGCUGGUUCUCCCCGAAAGCUAUUUAGGUAGCGCCUCGUGAAUUCAUCUCCGGGGGUAGAGCACUGUUUCGGCAAGGGGGUCAUCCCGACUUACCAACCCGAUGCAAACUGCGAAUACCGGAGAAUGUUAUCACGGGAGACACACGGCGGGUGCUAACGUCCGUCGUGAAGAGGGAAACAACCCAGACCGCCAGCUAAGGUCCCAAAGUCAUGGUUAAGUGGGAAACGAUGUGGGAAGGCCCAGACAGCCAGGAUGUUGGCUUAGAAGCAGCCAUCAUUUAAAGAAAGCGUAAUAGCUCACUGGUCGAGUCGGCCUGCGCGGAAGAUGUAACGGGGCUAAACCAUGCACCGAAGCUGCGGCAGCGACGCUGAUGCGUUGUUGGGUAGGGGAGCGUUCUGUAAGCCUGCGAAGGUGUGCUGUGAGGCAUGCUGGAGGUAUCAGAAGUGCGAAUGCUGACAUAAGUAACGAUAAAGCGGGUGAAAAGCCCGCUCGCCGGAAGACCAAGGGUUCCUGUCCAACGUUAAUCGGGGCAGGGUGAGUCGACCCCUAAGGCGAGGCCGAAAGGCGUAGUCGAUGGGAAACAGGUUAAUAUUCCUGUACUUGGUGUUACUGCGAAGGGGGGACGGAGAAGGCUAUGUUGGCCGGGCGACGGUUGUCCCGGUUUAAGCGUGUAGGCUGGUUUUCCAGGCAAAUCCGGAAAAUCAAGGCUGAGGCGUGAUGACGAGGCACUACGGUGCUGAAGCAACAAAUGCCCUGCUUCCAGGAAAAGCCUCUAAGCAUCAGGUAACAUCAAAUCGUACCCCAAACCGACACAGGUGGUCAGGUAGAGAAUACCAAGGCGCUUGAGAGAACUCGGGUGAAGGAACUAGGCAAAAUGGUGCCGUAACUUCGGGAGAAGGCACGCUGAUAUGUAGGUGAAGUCCCUCGCGGAUGGAGCAGAAAUCAGUCGAAGAUACCAGCUGGCUGCAACUGUUUAUUAAAAACACAGCACUGUGCAAACACGAAAGUGGACGUAUACGGUGUGACGCCUGCCCGGUGCCGGAAGGUUAAUUGAUGGGGUUAGCGCAAGCGAAGCUCUUGAUCGAAGCCCCGGUAAACGGCGGCCGUAACUAUAACGGUCCUAAGGUAGCGAAAUUCCUUGUCGGGUAAGUUCCGACCUGCACGAAUGGCGUAAUGAUGGCCAGGCUGUCUCCACCCGAGACUCAGUGAAAUUGAACUCGCUGUGAAGAUGCAGUGUACCCGCGGCAAGACGGAAAGACCCCGUGAACCUUUACUAUAGCUUGACACUGAACAUUGAGCCUUGAUGUGUAGGAUAGGUGGGAGGCUUUGAAGUGUGGACGCCAGUCUGCAUGGAGCCGACCUUGAAAUACCACCCUU
rnacentral:rRNA from 1 species